CUGAUAUACUUAUUCUAUAAAUCUGAUUUUUUAAUUCUAUUAAGUAUUAAUUAAUUAAUUAUAACAAACCAUUUCAAUAAUUUUAUAAUUUUUUAUAAACAGUGUUUAAUUAAUAUACUAUUCUCACAAUGGAGAUAUCACUCCUGGGAGAUUGUCAUUAAUAACAGGACAAAUCUGUUUUCUGAACACAAUUUCCAAAGAUUUUGCUGUCAUUGCUUGAACAAAAUUUUUUACAGAUCUCACUACAGUUGUAUAUGCCAUCAAAUCUGCAGAGCAUAUUAAUAGCUUCUUUUUGCUAAUGCUGUUGUAUUCCUUCUGUAAACUAUAUCUCUCUGAUAUUCUUUUAUUCUUGUUCCUAAGUUCCUUCCUAUCUUUCCUAUAUAUUCCUUAUUUGUUUGCAGAUCAACUUAUACAUAGGAGUUUCUAUAUACUAGACUUUAUAUUGUUAUAUCUUUUUCAUUUUGUAAUGAUGCAAAUAUUGUGGGUUAUUGCCAGUAUGCAAUCUUUCACCUUGCUUUUCUCUUUAUUCUUUUUACCAUCCCCCAUACAAUUAACAAAUUAUUAACCUGCAACUGCUGCAAUUACGGUGGUAUUGCCACUGCAAUUAGCGUUAAUUAUUAAUGAGUUUAUAAAUUAUCAAUCCGUCGCGAUAGAAUUUGAUUGACGUUAAUAUUAUAUACCAUUACAAUCCUCAGAAUAUGUAGUUUCGUAAUAUAUUGAUCAAAUCUCUCAGAUUUUAACCUAUAAAAUUAAAAAAAAUCAUAAAAUC
rnacentral:lncRNA from 1 species